rnacentral:rRNA from 1 species
AGCGAACGCUGGCGGCAGGCUUAACACAUGCAAGUCGAGCGGGCACUUCGGUGUCAGCGGCAGACGGGUGAGUAACACGUGGGAACGUACCCUUUGGUUCGGAAUAACGCUGGGAAACUAGCGCUAAUACCGGAUACGCCCUUUUGGGGAAAGGCUUGCUGCCGAAGGAUCGGCCCGCGUCUGAUUAGCUAGUUGGUGGGGUAAUGGCCUACCAAGGCGACGAUCCGUAGCUGGUCUGAGAGGAUGAUCAGCCACACUGGGACUGAGACACGGCCCAGACUCCUACGGGAGGCAGCAGUGGGGAAUAUUGGACAAUGGGCGCAAGCCUGAUCCAGCCAUGCCGCGUGAGUGAUGAAGGCCUUAGGGUUGUAAAGCUCUUUUGCCCGGGACGAUAAUGACGGUACCGGAAGAAUAAGCCCCGGCUAACUUCGUG